rnacentral:rRNA from 1 species
UACGUAGGGUGCGAGCGUUGUCCGGAAUUAUUGGGCGUAAAGGGCUCGUAGGCGGUUUGUCGCGUCGGGAGUGAAAACUCAGGGCUUAACCCUGAGCCUGCUUCCGAUACGGGCAGACUAGAGGUAUGCAGGGGAGAACGGAAUUCCUGGUGUAGCGGUGAAAUGCGCAGAUAUCAGGAGGAACACCGGUGGCGAAGGCGGUUCUCUGGGCAUUACCCGACGCUGAGGAGCGAAAGUGUGGGGAGCGAACAGG